rnacentral:rRNA from 1 species
UAAACGGCCGCAGUACCCUGACUGUGCUAAGGUAGCGCAAUCAAUUGGCUUUUAAUUGGAGUCUUGUAUGAAUGGGUUAACGGAAACAAGCUGUCUCACUCUACUUAAUUUGAACUUACUAAAGAGGUGAAAAUUCCUCUAUUAUGAAAAAAGACGAGAAGACCCUUAGAAUUUUCUUAGCAAUCCGGUAAAUCUUACCGUUGAUUUUUGUUGGGGCGACACUGAGACAGUAUAAUUAUAAACUCUCAGAUUUAGAAGAAAUCUUUCGAUAUUUAUAAGCAAAUAUAAAUUACCUAAGGGAUAACAGCKAUAAUUAUUUAUUUAGCUUGUGACCUCGAUGUGGACUAGGRAUCCUUAGACUGUCGUUUAAGGWUAUUGCUCUGUUCGAGCAGAAUUUACCU